GGCCAUCCCCAGCAGUCUGGCCUGAUCUAGUAUCAUCCCAGCUCAUAAGUAAACGGAUGGGCUGGGCUUUUUUUUUUUUCUCUUAGUCCCUUACCAAGAUAAUUGAGGAUCAUAAUGGUGGGAAAGGACUGGAGUCAUCAUUUGCUGCCUGUCAGGUCACAGGCCUUUCCAGUGCAGAUACUGCCCCUACAGUGCCUCUCAGAAGGGAAAUCUGAAGACCCAUGUUCUUUGUGUCCAUCGCAUGCCUUUUGACAACAGCCAGUAUCCAGAUCGCAGGUUCAAGCGCUCCAGAGUUGACUCCGAGGCUUCUGGGAAUUUAGAGGAACCUGCAGCUGUCAAACCUGGGAGCUCAGCAGAGCUAACAGAGGAGGGCAGCAAGGCCCAAGAGUAAUGCAGCUGAACAAAUCAAUCUGUAUAUUGCAAUAUUAUUUUACACAGUUUUUAGAUAUGCAUUUGGUAAGAGAGUUUGCUAACUGCAUUC